UGGGGAAUUUUGGACAAUGGGCGAAAGCCUGAUCCAGCAAUGCCGCGUGUGUGAAGAAGGCCUUCGGGUUGUAAAGCACUUUUGUCCGGAAAGAAAUCCUUGGCUCUAAUACAGUCGGGGGAUGACGGUACCGGAAGAAUAAGCACCGGCUAACUACGCGCCAGCAGCCGCGGUAAUACGUAGGGUGCAAGCGUUAAUCGGAAUUACUGGGCGUAAAGCGUGCGCAGGCGGUUUGCUAAGACCGAUGUGAAAUCCCCGGGCUCAACCUGGGAACUGCAUUGGUGACUGGCAGGCUAGAGUAUGGCAGAGGGGGGUAGAAUUCCACGUGUAGCAGUGAAAUGCGUAGAGAUGUGAGGAAUACCGAUGGCGAAGGCAGCCCCCUGGGCCAAUACUGACGCUCAUGCACGAAAGCGUGGGGAGCAAAACAGGAUUAGAUACCCUGGUAGUCCACGCCCUAAAACGAUGUCAACUA
rnacentral:rRNA from 1 species